rnacentral:rRNA from 1 species
CCUACGGGUGGCAGCAGUGAGGAAUAUUGGUCAAUGGCCGGAAGGCUGAACCAGCCAAGCCGCGUGAGGGAGGAAGGCGCAGAGCGUGGCAGACCUCUUUUGCCGGGGGACAAAAGGCCGGACUCGUCCGGUCCGGAGGGUACCCGGAGAAAAAGCAUCGGCAAACUCCGUGCCAGCAGCCGCGGUGAUCCGGAGGAUGCGAGCGUUAUCGGGUUUCAUGGGGUUUAGGGGGUGCGCAGGGGGGCCUUUACGCCGGCGGAAAAAUCGCGGGGCUAAACCCCGCCGGGCCGUCGGAACUGGGAGGCUUGAGUGCGGCGGAGGCAUGCGGAAUGCGCGGUGUAGCGGUGAAAUGCAUAGAUAUCGCGCAGAACCCCGAUUGCGAAGGCAGCGUGCCGUGCCGCCACUGACGCUGAGGCACGAAAGCGCGGGGAUCGAACAGGAUUAGAUACCCUUGUAGUC